UCCCUGGUGGUCCAGUGGCUAAGACUCUGUGCUCCCAAUGCAGGGGGCCCGGGUUCAAUCUCUGGUCAGGAAA
rnacentral:tRNA from 1 species